rnacentral:rRNA from 1 species
CCCAGUUCGGAUCGGAGCCUGCAACCCGGCUCCGUGAAGCUGGAUUCGCUAGUAAUCGCGCAUCAGCCAUGGCGCGGUGAAUACGUUCCCGGGCCUUGUACACACCGCCCGUCAAGCCAUGGGAGCCGGGGGCGCCUGAAGUGCGGUACCGCGAGGGCCGCCCAAGGGCGAGACCGGUGACUGGGGCUAAGUCGUAACAAGGUAGC